rnacentral:rRNA from 1 species
CCUACGGGUGGCAGCAGUGGGGAAUAUUGCACAAUGGGGGAAACCCUGAUGCAGCGACGCCGCGUGAGUGAAGAAGUAUUUCGGUACGUAAAGCUCUAUCAGCAGGGAAGAAAAAAAGUCCUUUGGACUUUGGACGGUACCUGACUAAGAAGCCCCGGCUAACUACGUGCCAGCAGCCGCGGUAAUACGUAGGGGGCAAGCGUUAUCCGGAUUUACUGGGUGUAAAGGGAGCGUAGACGGCAGCGCAAGUCUGGAGUGAAAUGCCGGGGCCCAACCCCGGAACUGCUUUGGAAACUGUGCAGCUGGAGUGCAGGAGAGGUAAGCGGAAUUCCUAGUGUAGCGGUGAAAUGCGUAGAUAUUAGGAGGAACACCAGUGGCGAAGGCGACUAUCUGGCACAUAACUGACGCUGAGGAGCGAAAGCGUGGGUAGCAAACAGGAUUAGAUACCCGGGUAGUC